UCCUACGGGGUGCAGCAGUCGCGAAACCUUGACAAUGCGGGAAACCGUGAUCAGGGGACUCCAAGUGCCAGGAGUAAGAUCCUGUGCUUUUCUUUUCUCUUCAAAGGAUUUGGAAUAAGAGGUGGGUAAGGACGGUGCCAGCCGCCGCGGUAAUACCGGCGCCUCGAGUGGUAGUCGAUUUUAUUGGGCCUAAAACGUCCGUCGCCGGUCUGGUGCAUUCGUGGGUAAAUCAACCCGCUCAACGGGUUGAAUUCUGCGAGCACGGCCAGACUAGGGACCGGGAGAGGUGUGGGGUACGCUCGGGGUAGGGGUAAAAUCCUGUCAUCCCGAGCGGACCACCUGUUGCGAAGGCUCCACACUAGAACGGAUCCGACGGUCAGGGACGAAGCCUAGGGGCACGAGCCGGAUUAGGUACCCGGGUAGUCCUAGGUGUAAACGCUGUGGACUUGGUGUUGGGAGCUCCCAGAGGGCUCUCAGUGCCGUAGCGAAAGUGAUAAGUCCACUGCCUGGGGAGUACGGUCGCAAGGCUGAAACUUAAAGGAAUUGGCGGGGGACACGCACCUGAGAUUGUGCGGUUAAUUGGAUUCACGCGAAACUCACAGUGCGACGACAAUGAAGCAGUACGACUUGCUGAUGUCGA
rnacentral:rRNA from 1 species